rnacentral:rRNA from 1 species
GACGAACGCUGGCGGCGUGCCUAAUACAUGCAAGUCGAACGAACCGCGACUGAGUGCUUUGCACUUGGUCAAGGUGAGUGGCGAACGGGUGAGUAACACGUGGGUAACCUACCUCAUAGUGGGGGAUAACAGUCGGAAACGACUGCUAAUACCGCAUAGGACAUGGAAUCACAUGAUUCUGUGAGGAAAGGUGGCGCAAGCUAUCGCUAAGAGAUGGACCCGCGGUGCAUUAGCUAGUUGGUAGGGUAACGGCCUACCAAGGCGAUGAUGCAUAGCCGACCUGAGAGGGUGAUCGGCCACAUUGGGACUGAGACACGGCCCAAACUCCUACGGGAGGCAGCAGUAGGGAAUCUUCCGCAAUGGACGCAAGUCUGACGGAGCAACGCCGCGUGAGUGAAGAAGGUCUUCGGAUCGUAAAGCUCUGUUGUUAGAGAAGAACAGCGCAUAGAGUAACUGUUAUGCGUGUGACGGUAUCUAACCAGAAAGCCACGGCUAACUACGUGCCAGCAGCCGCGGUAAUACGUAGGUGGCGAGCGUUGUCCGGAUUUAUUGGGCGUAAAGGGAGUGUAGGCGGUCUUUUAAGUCUGAUGUGAAAGCCCACGGCUCAACCGUGGAGGGUCAUUGGAAACUGGGAGACUUGAGUGCAGAAGAGGAGAGCGGAAUUCCAUGUGUAGCGGUGAAAUGCGUAGAUAUAUGGAGGAACACCAGUGGCGAAGGCGGCUCUCUGGUCUGUAACUGACGCUGAGGCUCGAAAGCGUGGGGAGCAAACAGG